AGUCGAACGAGAUUAGAGGGCUUGCUCUCUAUGAAAGUGGCGCACGGGUGCGUAACGCGUAUGCAACCUACCUUAAUCAGGGGGAUAGCCCGAAGAAAUUCGGAUUAACACCGCAUAAAAACACAGGAUAGCAUUAUCCAAUGUUCAAAUAUUUAUAGGAUUAAGAUGGGCAUGCGUGUCAUUAGCUAGUUGGCGGGGUAACGGCCCACCAAGGCGACGAUGACUAGGGGAUCUGAGAGGAUGACCCCCCACACUGGUACUGAGACACGGACCAGACUCCUACGGGAGGCAGCAGUAAGGAAUAUUGGUCAAUGGAGGGAACUCUGAACCAGCCAUGCCGCGUGCAGGAAGACAGCCCUCUGGGUCGUAAACUGCUUUUAUUCGGGAAUAAACCUACUUACGUGUAAGUAGCUGAAUGUACCGAAGGAAUAAGGAUCGGCUAACUCCGUGCCAGCAGCCGCGGUAAUACGGANGGAUCCAAGCGUUAUCCGGAUUUAUUGGGUUUAAAGGGUGCGUAGGCGGCUUAUUAAGUCAGGGGUGAAAGACGGUGGCUCAACCAUCGCAGUGCCCUUGAUACUGAUGAGCUUGAAUACACUAGAGGUAGGCGGAAUGUGACAAGUAGCGGUGAAAUGCAUAGAUAUGUCACAGAACACCGAUUGCGAAGGCAGCUUACUAUGGUGUUAUUGACGCUGAGGCACGAAAGCGUGGGGAUCAAACAGGAUUAGAUACCCUGGUAGUCCACGCCCUAAACGAUGAAUACUCGCUGUUAGCGAUAUACAGUUAGCGGCUGAGCGAAAGCGUUAAGUAUUCCACCUGGGGAGUACGCCCGCAAGGGUGAAACUCAAAGGAAUUGACGGGGGCCCGCACAAGCGGAGGAGCAUGUGGUUUAAUUCGAUGAUACGCGAGGAACCUUACCCGGGCUUGAAAGUUAGUGAAUGAUCUAGAGAUAGAUCAGUGAGCAAUCACACGAAACUAGGUGCUGCAUGGCUGUCGUCAGCUCGUGCCGUGAGGUGUUGGGUUAAGUCCCGCAACGAGCGCAACCCCUAUGUUUAGUUGCCAGCACGUUAAGGUGGGGACUCUAAACAGACUGCCUGUGCAAACAGAGAGGAAGGAGGGGACGACGUCAAGUCAUCAUGGCCCUUACGUCCGGGGCUACACACGUGCUACAAUGGAUGGUACAGAGGGCAGCAAGCUGGCAACAGCAAGUGAAUCUCAAAAAGCCAUUCACAGUUCGGAUAGAGGUCUGCAACUCGACCUCU
rnacentral:rRNA from 1 species